GCCAAGUUCAAGCUCAGUUGGUUAGAGCAUGGUGCUGAUAAUGCCAAGGUUGCAGGUUCGAUCCCCAUAUGGGACA